CCCUCUCAUCUUGCUUAGGUCCUUGUAUUUGUAUUUAAGAGUGGAAAGUGAUUCAAACCCCUAAUGCAAACCUAUAGAGAGAUUGUAAGGUUUUUCAAGCACCUCGUGGAAGCUUGAGGGAAAGAGAGAGCAAGGAAAUACUGUAACAGAUUGACAAGCACUAGCGAAGCUUCUUGGUGUUCUGGCUUCAAUUUCCUUCUUCAUGUUAUGGUGUGCUGUGUAAAUUUUCUUGAAUUAUACUUGCAAAGUCUUCUGAGUUUUGUUUAUGUUUCACUUCUACACGAGCUUUUAAGUGUUAAGCUUUCAAUUUUUCGUAGAACCACAGGCAAGAUUUGAAAAAUUGAUCAACCAUGACAAUCUCUUGCCUCCUUUGGUGUUAGGUUUAUUGGUGUAUAAUCAGUGACCCUGUUCGUUUUAAUCAAGGGCUGCAAUUGUGGAAUCCUCAAGCUGACAAAAUUUGACAGUUGGGUGCUGCUUUGGAAAUGGCUAAUUUGACAGCAUUCUUAAAUAUGAUCACGUUAAUUACAAUGCGUUCAGGUAGAGAUGUGCUUCCAAUUCCUAUUCACAGAGGCAAUGCCAAGGACAAUCAUCAUAAUACAGCAAACUUUUAACCUUGCAUAAUAUAAUCCAAGUUAUCUAUCCUUUUCAAUCAUAUGGAUAUGCUUCAAUUUAUGCAGCGAACCCUUUGUCAAGAGAGCUCCAUGGACCAGAUGGAAAGCUCAGACAAGCUUGUCCUGAUGCUUCCGCCAUCUGUUCUUCUCCAAUUCCAGCAUUGC
rnacentral:lncRNA from 1 species